rnacentral:misc_RNA from 1 species
GUCGUAACAAGGUUUCCGUAGGUGAACCUGCGGAAGGAUCAUUACCACACCAAAAAUAUGUUCACGUGAAUAAGAGAUUGUUGGCUUUGUGUUGCUUUUCGGAGCAGCUAAGCGAAGGUUCUUCGGAACUGAUGUUUUUAAACUUUUGUAUUGAAUUGUCUGAAAUAUAUAUCUGUGAUCAUGAAAAUGGUUGCUUUGAAUUAUAUACAACUUUCAACAGUGGAUGUCUUGGUUU